rnacentral:rRNA from 1 species
GACGAACGCUGGCGGCGUGCUUAACACAUGCAAGUCGAACGGAAAGGCCCUGCUUGCAGGGUACUCGAGUGCCGAACGGGAGAGUAACACGUGGGUGAUCUGCCCUGCACUUCGGGAUAAGCCUGGGAAACUGGGUCUAAUACCGGAUAAGAGCCAUUUUUGGUGUGAUGGUUGGAAAGUUUUUUCGGUGUAGGAUGAGCUCGCGGCCUAUCAGCUUGUUGGUGGGGUAAUGGCCUACCAAGGCGGCGACGGGUAGCCGGCCUGAGAGGGUGGACGGCCACAUUGGGACUGGGAUACGGCCCAGACUCCUACGGGAGGCAGCAGUGGGGAAUAUUGCACAAUGGGGGCAAGCCUGAUGCAGCGACGCCGCGUGGGGGAUGAAGGCCUUCGGGUUGUAAACUCCUUUCGCUAGGGACGAAGCUUUUUGUGACGGUACCUAGAUAAGAAGCACCGGCUAACUACGUG